rnacentral:rRNA from 1 species
UACGAAGGUCCCAAGCGUUAUCCGGAUUUAUUGGGUUUAAAGGGUGCGUAGGCGGGCUGUUAAGUCAGUGGUGAAAGCUUCAUGCCUAACAUGGAAAAUGCCAUUGAUACUGACGGUCUUGAGUACAUUUGAAGUGGGCGGAAUGUGUCAUGUAGCGGUGAAAUGCUUAGAUAUGACACAGAACACCGAUUGCGUAGGCAGCUCACUAAACUGUAACUGACGCUGAGGCACGAAAGCGUGGGGAGCAAACAGG